rnacentral:rRNA from 2 species
UACGACGAUGAGUGCUAGGUGUUAGGGGUUUCAUACCCUUAGUGCCGCAGUUAACACAUUAAGCACUCCGCCUGGGGAGUACGGCCGCAAGGCUGAAACUCAAAGGAAUUGACGGGGGCCCGCACAAGCAGUGGAGCAUGUGGUUUAAUUCGAAGCAACGCGAAGAACCUUACCAGGUCUUGACAUCCUCUGACACUCCUAGAGAUAGGACGUUCCCCUUCGGGGGACAGAGUGACAGGUGGUGCAUGGUUGUCGUCAGCUCGUGUCGUGAGAUGUUGGGUUAAGUCCCGCAACGAGCGCAACCCUUGACCUUAGUUGCCAGCAUUAAGUUGGGCACUCUAAGGUGACUGCCGGUGACAAACCGGAGGAAGGUGGGGAUGACGUCAAAUCAUCAUGCCCCUUAUGACCUGGGCUACACACGUGCUACAAUGGAUGGUACAAAGGGCAGCAAAGUCGCGAGACCGAGCGAAUCCCAUAAAGCCAUUCUCAGUUCGGAUUGCAGGCUGCAACUCGCCUGCAUGAAGCCGGAAUUGCUAGUAAUCGCGGAUCAGCAUGCCGCGGUGAAUACGUUCCCGGGCCUUGUACACACCGCCCGUCACACCACGAGAGUUUGUAACACCCGAAGUCGGUGAGGUAACCUUUUGGAGCCA